UCAAGGGAGCAGCUGGAACUAUCAUAACCCUGUAAAUAUAGACACAGCUACCAAGGAGCCAUGGCCUCCCUUGGACAGAUCAUCUUCUGGGGGAUGAUAGUCAUGAUCUUUGUAGCUGCUGGAUUCAUCAUUCUCAUCUUGUUUGUGUCAUUUGCAGUUCAGGGUUUAGGGGGUUCCCAGGGCACUGUGGAUAGCAAUAACAAGUGGCCCAUCGGGAACCUGGGGGAGGAUGUCAUCCUGAGCUGCAAGUUCAAGACUUCAACUAACAGCGGGGAAUCGACCAGUCAGGUGUCAAUCAUAUGGAAGAAGGGACUCAGCGAAGUGGUGUACAGUUACAAUAAAGGAGCAGUCCAGCUGACGGAGCAGAACCCCCAGUUUAAAGAUAGAACCCAGCUGUUCUCAGACGCCAUAGGUGGAGGCAAUGCCUCUAUGUUGCUGAGGAACGUGAAAAUUAAAGAUGAGGGGGUGUACUACUGCAGUGUGAAUGCCCCUAGUUGCUCAGGGACUACCAGUGUUAACCUCAGAGUUGCAGCUUUCUCAGCCCCCAAAUUGAAGUGGGUCAACACUACCCUGACGGCAGAGGGAGAGAGAUGGUUCCCAAAACCAGAUGUCCUCUGGUUGGACGUCAAUGACAACGUCCUAAACGAGAGUGAAACUAGCUUUUUCAACAACUCCGCCGGGAUAACCCGAUUCAUCAGCUCCCUUCAGAAAAUUACAUUGAACGACAGCUACACCUGCAUCAUCCAAAACCAUCUGGUGAAGGCUGUCUCCCGGGCAACCGUCAAAGGUCCAGUAAACACCUUUCGGGGCAAAGAAAAUAGUAUUUUAUACUGAACAAAUACCUGGAUGAGAAGUGCAUGUUAGACGACUCUCUCCCAGUUUAAAAACAUUUACACAAGUGAAGUCACUCCCUCAAGUGAUGACACCUACAUCCUCUUCAGUCUACAUCCUUCACCUACAUCCUCUUCACCAUGACAACCUGGCCAACCGUGACAGCUAAACAAAAAAUAAAGUGACAAUUGAUCUGGCAUUUAACCCUACAGUCUCUUCAGUCAAUAUCACCAUGACAACCUGACCAACCAGGACAGCUAAACAAAAAAUAAAGUGACAAAUAAAGUGACUGGUGGCCAGGGUUGGAUAUAGAGAUAUCAACGAGGACUUUCUUCUCCUUCCCUACUGCAGCUGCACCACCCAUACUACUACCCCAACGGCACGUCCUAG